CCGGAUGGGGGGAGAGGCCUUACAACGCCCUAAUGCGCCCCCACAGCUAUGUCAGGAACAGGAGGAGAACCUCGUCCUGACAUGAGCAAAGUCAAAGGCCCGAUUCUUUUAGACCGGAUGGAGGGAGAGGCCUUACAGCGCCCAAAUGUGCCCCCACAGCCAUGUCAGGAACAGGAGGAGAACCUCGUCCUGACAUGAGCAAAGUCAAGGCCCGGUUCUUUUAGACCGGAUGGGGGGAGAGGCCUUACAGCGCCCAAAUGUGCCCCCACAGCCAUGUCAGGAACAGGAGGAGAACCUCGUCCUGACAUGAGCAAAGUUGAAGGCCCGAUUCUUUUAGACCGGAUGGGGGAAGAGGCCUUGCAGCGCCCUAACGCGCCCCCGCAACCAGGUUGGUAACGAGAGGAGAACCUCACACCGACUCGAGCAAAAUGGAAGGCCCGGACUCCUACGGGAGCCGGGUUCCGUCUACAAGGAA
rnacentral:lncRNA from 1 species